ACGGAAGGCAGCAGUGGGGAAUAUUGGACAAUGGGGGAAACCCUGAUCCAGCGACGCCGCGUGAGUGAAGAAGUAUUUCGGUAUGUAAAGCUCUAUCAGCAAGGAAGAAAAUGACGGUACUUGACUAAGAAGCUCCGGCUAAAUACGUGCCAGCAGCCGCGGUAAUACGUAUGGAGCAAGCGUUAUCCGGAUUUACUGGGUGUAAAGGGUGCGUAGACGGUAAAGCAAGUCUGAAGUGAAAUCCCGGGGCUCAACCCCGGAACUGCUUUGGAAACUGUUUAACUAGAGUGCAGGAGAGGUAAGCGGAAUUCCUAGUGUAGCGGUGAAAUGCGUAGAUAUUAGGAGGAACACCAGUGGCGAAGGCGGCUUACUGGACUGUAACUGACGUUGAGGCUCGAAAGCGUGGGGAGCAAACAGGAUUAGAUACCCUGGUA
rnacentral:rRNA from 1 species